GACGAACGCUGGCGGCGUGCCUAAUACAUGCAAGUCGAGCGAAGUUUUUCUGGUGCUUGCACCGGAAAAACUUAGCGGCGAACGGGUGAGUAACACGUAAAGAACCUGCCUCAUAGACUGGGACAACUAUUGGAAACGAUAGCUAAUACCGGAUAACAGCAUUAACUGCAUGGUUGAUGUUUAAAAGUUGGUUUUGCUAACACUAUGAGAUGGCUUUGCGGUGCAUUAGCUAGUUGGUGGGGUAAAGGCCUACCAAGGCGACGAUGCAUAGCCGACCUGAGAGGGUGAUCGGCCACACUGGGACUGAGACACGGCCCAGACUCCUACGGGAGGCAGCAGUAGGGAAUCUUCCGCAAUGGGCGAAAGCCUGACGGAGCAACGCCGCGUGAGUGAAGAAGGAUUUCGGUUCGUAAAGCUCGGUUGUUAGGGAAGAAUGAGUGUGUAGUAACAAUACACAGUAGAGACGGUACCUAACCAGAAAGCCACGGCUAACUACGUG
rnacentral:rRNA from 1 species